rnacentral:rRNA from 1 species
UCCCUAUGGGGUGCAGCAGGCGCGAAAACUUUACAAUGCAGGCAACUGCGAUAAGGGGACAUCGAGUGGCACGCAAUUUGUGUGUCUGUCCACCCGUCUAAAAAACGGGUGUUAGCAAGGGCCGGGCAAGACCGGUGCCAGCCGCCGCGGUAAUACCGGCGGCUCGAGUGGUGGCCGAUAUUAUUGAGUCUAAAGGGUCCGUAGCCGGCUUAGUAAGUCUUUUGGGAAAUCCAGCGGCUUAAUCGUUGGGCGUCCAUGAGAUACUGCUUUGCUUGGGACUGGGAGAGGUAGGAGGUACUCAAGGGGUAGGAGUGAAAUCCUGUAAUCCUUUGGGGACCACCGGUGGCGAAGGCGUCCUACCAGAACAGGUCCGACGGUGAGGGACGAAAGCUAGGGGCACGAACCGGAUUAGAUACCCGGGUAGUCCUAGCCGUAAACGAUGCUCGCUAGGUGUCACGGCAGUCGUGAAUUGCCGUGGUGCCGUAGGGAAGCCGUGAAGCGAGCCACUUGGGAAGUACGACCGCAAGGUUGAAACUUAAAGGAAUUGGCGGGGGAGCACCACAACGGGUGGAGCCUGCGGUUUAAUUGGAUUCAACGCCGGAA